rnacentral:rRNA from 1 species
CAGUCGCCGCGGUAAUACGUAGGGUGCAAGCGUUAAUCGGAAUUACUGGGCGUAAAGCGUGCGCAGGCGGUUCGUUAAGACAGAUGUGAAAUCCCCGGGCUUAACCUGGGAACUGCAUUUGUGACUGGCGAGCUAGAGUAUGGCAGAGGGGGGUAGAAUUCCACGUGUAGCAGUGAAAUGCGUAGAUAUGCGGAGGAACACCGAUGGCGAAGGCAGCCCCCUGGGCCAACACUGACGCUCAUGCACGAAAGCGUGGGGAGCAAACAGGAUUAGAGACCCCGUGUAGUCCCUGUCUCUUAUA